GCAACAAAACCUAUCCCUAAAAUUAAGAUAACACAGCGUAUUAAGUUAUAUAGUCAUACUAUACACUCCAAAUGCAUACUUCUUAAAGUUCCUAUAAGUGUUGGGAGGCAUUCCAUGCGUCAAACACAAGUUUGUAAGGUAUAGGGACAAUGUCCUCCAUUGGUCGAAUGCUUGAUGGCUUUUGCAGAGAGAGGCUUAUCUCUAAUAUUAUGAACAACUUCAGCUUUGUUUCUGAAGUCCGAGAAGAGAAGCUGUGAUAUUUUAACAAAGGCUUCUUUCCUGAAUUUCCGUCUUUUGGACAGGCUUUUCAUUGCAAACCAUCUCGUGAGCGGCCACAUAACUCACAGCAGCAGUUGAAUUUGGAUCCAAUUAUUGAAAUCAUAUCGGCUUUCCACUGCGGGUCCCAAACCUCUUCUUUGUUCAUCUCCAGAUGGAUGCGUGUUUUUUUUUUUCUGGAAAUGUCUUUCAACGAUACAUCUUUCUUUGUGUGUGUGUGUGUGUGUGUGUGUGUGUGUGUGUGUGUGUGUGUGUGUGUGUGUGUGUGUGUGUGUGUGUGUGUGUGUGUGUGUGUGUGUGUGUGUGUGUGUGUGUGUGUGUGUGUGUGUGUGUGUGUGUGUGUGCCCUCGGUCUCUGCCACCUUUCCAAAUUUCUUUUUUGUGUCUUUAAUUUCACCCAUCAUACGGAUGUGCUUCUGCCGGCUGGCAUCGAUACUAAAAGACCAGGAGAGGCUUCCAACGAGCCGUAUCCCGAGGCAUAGCCCAUUGCAUUGUGGGCAGCCCGCACGGCAACGCAGGAUCACACAAACAUUGCAGUCAACAUUCGUAUCUGUGUGUUCGUGUUUUGAUGCCUGCUAUGUCAAACAUGUGGAAAGGCUUUGGCCUGACCUUCCACCCGUAUCAUUUGAUGAAUGGUCACAAUGGUAAAUGUUGGUGGAUCAAAGGUGCAGACUAUAAUUUGAAAAAGUUUCGAUGAAAACAAGUAAUUGUUGACAAUUAUAGAACCUGCUGUUCUAGUCAGAACAAAUGGCUUCUGAACAUGGGUCUUAAGAGCGGCGCCAUGUUUAGAUCCGUCUGGAUUGGCCCAUCAGAUUUAGAUCCACAAUCUUAUGCCCGCUAUUGAUGAGUUGGUGACGUCUUUACAAAACCGUUUUCAGAGUAAACUCGCUGUUAGAUUGAAUAGUUAAUGCGAAUAGCUUUAAUCACCCAUUGUCCUGACAAACAGACAAUGACAGUCACGUCACUGAAGGGUGACUGGUUUGUCUUGGCUUUGUGCCAGGAGUCAGUGGCUUGAAGAAGAGAAGGAACCACAUGUAGCUUAGGACACAGCACUUUGGUGACACGACUGACGUUAAUGGAUGGAGCCUUUGAGAUGCUCACAGUCCCAAGGUGACGCUUGAUUAAGUAAAUAUGUCGUUAGAGACUCGCUGUUCAAAGUGGAUUCAGAUACAUGAAGCAUAUAACCAGUUUUUUCAACGAAAGAUCACCUCCCUGACGUGAAGCGUCUUUACAUUUAUCUCCCAGGCUAAUAAUAAUGAGUGAAAAAAUGUAGACACGUACACAGAAAGGGGGCACACACGGUUAGAGCCAGAAUAAUACAUAGUUGACAGAACUUACAGAGGCAGUCAUCCUUGACAGUAAGAAGAUGUGUGAGGGCCAUGCAUGCAGAGCGUAUGGUACAGAAAAGGACCUCGAUGAGUUACAUGGUGAUGCUUGGCUCAGGCAUCCCACAGGCAUCCUCACCUCUUUUUAGAUUAGAUAUUAUCCAACUUUAUUGACAUUGCACAAGUAAGGACAACCAGUACAACGAAAUGCAGUUUACAUCUAACCAGUAGUGCAACCCUUAAAAAGUUAUUUUCCUUAUAGCACUGCUUAAAUUAAAAAAUAAAUUAGACACAGAUUGCAUGUCCAUUAUUAAAGUGCAUAGGAUUCUGAUGAAUCAGACAGACCAUAGUCCAUAGAUAGAGUGCAGUAUGAGGAUAUAAAGUGAAUUGUGGAAGUGCAUUAAUAAAGUGUCUGCUGCUCUAUCGUGCUAUAAGGCUCUGAUAAUGCACUUGACAGAGUCAAACCUUCUGUGGGACCCUCCGUUAACGUUGUCCGUUCCA